GGAGGGAGACCGCGAGGGUUCGGCGGCUGCGGAGGCGCUGGCCAUUAGGCUGCACCGCCGCGCUCCUGGCCUGGCCCUGCGCCCGGGCCCGCCCGUCCCGCUUCCCCAGCCAGGUGAACAAGCUGCCAGUCUGUGGUCAUCCGCAGAGGGACGCAUUACUGGACAGGUCCUACAAGAAGCCAGGGACUCCUGGAUUGAUGUCUGGAGCUGUGCAGUGCCACCAUAGCAGAAGGGGACAUACCAGCCUGGAGCAGGCACUAAGGGACACUGAGAGCUGGGGGGUGGGGGGGAAGGAUUUCCCCUGCUCUUGCCUGCUUAGAGGGAGCAGGAGCUGGGGCCGCAAGGUGUUGGACUUCCUUUUUUUCCUCGUGCCUGGGAGCUUUCUCCUGGAGCCCAGCAUCCUCCUCCCAGAAACCUUGGACUCUCAGAUGUUAUCAGAUGUCCACCCCCAGAACUCCCUUCCUCUCAUCUCCAGGGACUGUCGCUGGCCUACAGCCCAACGAAUGAGCUUAAAUCGAUCUCUGUGAUGAGCCCCAAUUACUGGUCUCAGGACCCUGCCUCAGCAUGGGUCUGGGGUUCCAGAAGAAAGAAGAUAGGACAGUCAUACACCAGCCUUUUCCCUCAGGUAUCCUCAGGACUUUUUCCUACUUUCC
rnacentral:lncRNA from 1 species